UACGGAGGGGGCUAGCGUUGUUCGGAUUUACUGGGCGUAAAGCGCACGUAGGCGGAUCGUUAAGUCGGGGGUGAAAUCCUGGAGCUCAACUCCAGAACUGCCUUCGAUACUGGCGAUCUAGAGUCCGGAAGAGGUGAGUGGAACUCCUAGUGUAGAGGUGGAAUUCGUAGAUAUUAGGAAGAACACCAGUGGCGAAGGCGGCUCACUGGUCCGGUACUGACGCUGAGGUGCGAAAGCGUGGGGAGCAAACAGG
rnacentral:rRNA from 1 species